rnacentral:lncRNA from 1 species
UUUAUAUAUUUUUAUUUAUAAUUUAUAUUUAUACAUUUAUUUUUAAUAUAUAUUUAUAUGUAGAAAUUUAUAUAUAUAAAUGUUCGAAAAUCUUUAUAGACAUGGCAAUUUAAUAAACAUAUUACCUGACUUGUGACAUACACAGUUGUUCUAUCCACCUGUCCUCCAUGAGAUAUAGAAAGGAAGAAGUGUUUUUUGAGUGUUCCAAAUUGGUAGUGAAUAAUUCUGGUUAUUUUCCAAACGGGUUCCCAAAAUCCCACUGUAGUCUAAAAAUGAAUCAAAAUGUUGAUUAUCAGUUAAAGGGACGUUCAUCCAUCUUUGGUGUUCCUGCCACCCAACUCUCAACUGUGGCUCCAAGAAACUAGAGCAUGUGCAGUGGUCACACCCUAGGAAAAAGAUCUUGGCAGACAGAUUAAAAUGGCUUGAGGGUAACAGACAGAUCUGAAAUGAGUCAGUGAGUUAGGGGGAUGUCUACCCCAAGCACAUGAAGGCAUCAUGUCAUUGUUGGCCAUCUUUGAAGAUGAAGGAUGAACAACAACUACAUGCCAGGCACUGAAGUAAGCACGUUAAAAAUAUUAUCUCAUUUGAUCCUCACAACAACCCUUUAAGGUUGGUGCUAUUAUUAUUCUCAUUUUGCAAGUGAGGAAACUGAGGUAGGCAAAAGUUAGAUGACUUUCCCAGGGUUAUUCAACUCAUAAAUGUUGGAGGCCAGAUUUGAAUUCAGUCCUCUUGUCUCCAAGCAGGUCCUGGACAGGAAGGGUACAAGAUGGGUAGAAAUGGAUAGGCUGUGCUCUACGGGUCAGAAGGACUGCCUACAUCGACAGGAUCAUAGAUAGUCUGGAGCAUCAGAGCAGAAAUUCUCAUCUGUGGGAAUGGCCUAAAGAAAAGGAAUCAAACUGCCUCUUCAUUGGAAACCAUUGGGAGGAUAUCACUAUUGGAAAGAUGGGUUCUCUGUCUCAGAUUAAUUCCAGAAGCCCCCCAAGGGUCCUUCAAUCUGGGACAGAAGCUAACAGGGAUCAGUUCUCAGCUUCUUCCCCCUUCAGCCAGAAGCCAAGGAAGUCUCUCCAAAACCAAGAGAAACAGUUCAAAGCUAGAAAUCCCAGCUUCUUCUCCACCACUCUGUCAGAGCCACCCAGGUCACUCCCUUGGUCAGUAACUCCCAGAGAAGAAAAACUCAGUUCAUCUCCCCUGGCCAGCUCCAACUGCCUUUCCUGGGAACAUUCUGUUUUGGAAUCCACCUUGAUUGACAGAUCAGGCCCCCAGCUUUGUUUCUUGCAUGCUUGA